rnacentral:piRNA from 1 species
UUGGUUACAAUAGGAGCUGAGAGCUGGGU